GUGCUCACUUCAGCAGCACAGACACUAAAACUGGAACAACACAGAGAUUAGCAUGGCCCGUGUGCAACAGUGACAUGCAAAUUCGUGAAGCUUUCCAUAUUUAA